rnacentral:rRNA from 1 species
CCUACGGGUGUCAGCAGUGAGGAAUAUUGGUCAAUGGGCGCGAGCCUGAACCAGCCAAGUAGCGUGAAGGAUGACUGCCCUACGGGUUGUAAACUUCUUCUGUAAAGGAAUAAAGUGAGGCACGUGUGCCUUUUUGUAUGUACUUUAUGAAUAAGGCUCGGCUAACUCCGGGCCAGCAGCCGCGGUAAUACGGAGUAGCCGAGCGUUAUCUGGAUUCAUUGGGCUGAAAGGGUGCGUAGGCGGGCGUUCAAGUCAGCUGUAAAAUCGCGCGGCUCAACCGCGCCCCGCAGUUGAAACUGGACGCCUAGAGUUCACAAGAGGCAGGCGGAAUUCGUGGUGUAGCGGUGAAAUGCAUAGAUAUCACGAGGAACCCCGAUUGCGAAGGCAGCCUGCCGGGGUGCAACUGACGCUGAGGCUCGAAGGUGCGGGUAUCAAACAGGAUUAGAUACCCCUGUAGUC